AGGACGACGCUGGCGGCGUGCUUCAUACAUGCAAGUCGAACGAUAAGGUCUCUUCGGAGAUACAUAAGUGGCGGACGGGUGAGUAAUAUGUAGAGAAUCUGCCCUAGAGAGUGGGACAACAGUUGGAAACGACUGCUAAUACCGCAUAUGAGCAUAGUUGAGAUACUAUUCUUGAAAACUCCGGUGCUCUAGGAUGAGUCUGCAUCUGAUUAGCUAGUUGGGGGUGUAAUGGACCACCAAGGCGACGAUCAGUAGCUGGUUUGAGAGGAUGAUCAGCCACAAUGGGACUGAGACACGGCCCAUACUCCUACGGGAGGCAGCAGUAGGGAAUUUUGCGCAAUGGGGGAAACCCUGAACCGCAGCAACGCCGCGUGACCGAUGAAGCCCUUCGGGGUGUAAAGGUCUGUCAGUGGGGACGAAUAAUGACGGUACCCACAGAGGAAGCAUCGGCUAACUCCGUGCCAGCCGCGGC
rnacentral:rRNA from 1 species